rnacentral:tRNA from 1 species
CUAGGAUUCUAGCAUUAAACUAUUCUUU